rnacentral:rRNA from 1 species
GCCGUAAACAAUUAAUUUACACCAAUAAGCGCCAGGGAAUUACGAGCAAUGCUUAAAACCCAAAGGAUUUGACGGUGUCCCACCCCACUAGAGGAGCCUGUUCUAUAAUCGAUGAUCCCCGAUAUACCCGACCAUUUCUCGCUUAUCAGUCUGUAUACCUCCGUCGAAAGCUUACCAUGUGAACGCCUGCAGUAGGCUUAAUGACCUAACACGUCAAUACGUCAGGUCAAGGUGCAGCUUAAGAAAUGGGAAGUAAUGGGCUACAAUUUCUAACUUAGAACAAACGAAAGACUGUAUGAAAUUACAAUCAUGAAGGUGGAUUUAGUAGUAAAAAAAAAGUAUAGUGUUCUUUUUAACCCGGCUCUGGGACGCGUACACACCGCCCGUCACCCUCUUCGAUAGUAUCUUAUCCCGUUCCUAACCCAUCAUUACAUUUUAGAAGAGGCAAGUCGUAACAUGGUAAGUGUACUGGAAAGUGCACUUGGUUUAU